UGGGGAAUAUUGGACAAUGGGCGCAAGCCUGAUCCAGCCAUGCCGCGUGGGUGAAGAAGGCCUACGGGUUGUAAAGCCCUUUUGUUGGGAAAGAAAUCCUGUCGGCUAAUACCCGGCGGGGAUGACGGUACCCAAAGAAUAAGCACCGGCUAACUUCGUGCCAGCAGCCGCGGUCAUACGAAGGGUGCAAGCGUUACUCGGAAUUACUGGGCGUAAAGCGUGCGUAGGCGGUUCGUUAAGUCUGUCGUGAAAGCCCUGGGCUCAACCUGGGAAUUGCUAUGGAUACUGGCGAGCUAGAGUACGGUAGAGGAUGGUGGAAUUCCCGGUGUAGCGGUGAAAUGCGUAGAGAUCGGGAGGAACACCCGUGGCGAAGGCGGCCAUCUGGACCAGUACUGACGCUGAGGCACGAAAGCGUGGGGAGCAAACA
rnacentral:rRNA from 1 species